UACGUAGGCAGCGAGCGUUGUUCGGAGUUACUGGGCGUAAAGGGUGUGUAGGCGGUUGUUUAAGUUUGGUGUGAAAUCUCCCGGCUCAACUGGGAGGGUGCGCCGAAUAUUGAAUGACUUCGAGUGCGGGAGAGGAAAGUGGAAUUCCUGGUGUAGCGGUGAAAUGCGUAGAUAUCAGGAGGAACACCGGUGGUGUAGACGGCUUUCUGGACCGUAACUGACGCUGAGACACGAAAGCGUGGGUAGCAAACAGG
rnacentral:rRNA from 1 species